rnacentral:snRNA from 1 species
AUCCGUUAUCGUGAAGCAGUGUUU